rnacentral:rRNA from 1 species
GACGGAGGGGGCAAGCGUUGUUCGGAAUUACUGGGCGUAAAGGGCGCGUAGGCGGUCAUGCAAGUCGGUGGUGUAAGCCCAUGGCUCAACCAUGGAAUUGCCUCCGAAACUGCAUGACUUGAGUACGGAAGAGGAGAGCGGAAUUCCCAGUGUAGCGGUGAAAUGCGUAGAUAUUGGGAGGAACACCAGUGGCGAAGGCGGCUCUCUGGUCCGAAACUGACGCUGAGGCGCGAAAGCCAGGGGAGCAAACGGGAUUAGAUACCCCGGUAGUCCGGGCCGUAAACGUUAUGCACUAGGUGUAGGAGGUAUCGACCCCUUCUGUGCCGAAGCUAACGCAUUAAGUGCACCGCCUGGGGAGUACGAUCGCAAGAUUGAA